GACGAACGCUGGCGGCGUGCUUAACACAUGCAAGUCGAACGAUGAAGCCUAGCUUGCUAGGUGGAUUAGUGGCGAACGGGUGAGUAAUACGUGAGUAACCUACCUUUAACUCUGGGAUAAGCCUGGGAAACUGGGUCUAAUACCGGAUACGACCAAUCUCCGCAUGGGGUGUUGGUGGAAAGCGUUAUGUAGUGGUUAUAGAUGGGCUCACGGCCUAUCAGCUUGUUGGUGAGGUAACGGCUCACCAAGGCGACGACGGGUAGCCGGCCUGAGAGGGUGACCGGCCACACUGGGACUGAGACACGGCCCAGACUCCUACGGGAGGCAGCAGUGGGGAAUAUUGCACAAUGGGCGCAAGCCUGAUGCAGCGACGCCGCGUGAGGGAUGACGGCCUUCGGGUUGUAAACCUCUGUUAGCAGGGAAGAAGAGAGAUUGACGGUACCUGCAGAGAAAGCGCCGGCUAACUACGUGCCAGCAGCCGCGGUAAUACGUAGGGCGCGAGCGUUGUCCGGAAUUAUUGGGCGUAAAGAGCUUGUAGGGCGGUUUGUCGCGUCUGCUGUGAAAGGCCGGAGCUUAACUCCGUGUAUUGCAGUGGGUACGGGCAGACUAGAGUGCAGUAGGGGAGACUGGAAUUCCUGGUGUAGCGGUGGAAUGCGCAGAUAUCAGGAGGAACACCGAUGGCGAAGGCAGGUCUCUGGGCUGUAACUGACGCUGAGAAGCGAAAGCAUGGGGAGCGAACAGGAUUAGAUACCCUGGUAGUCCAUGCCGUAAACGUUGGGCACUAGGUGUGGGGGACAUUCCACGUUUUCCGCGCCGUAGCUAACGCAUUAAGUGCCCCGCCUGGGGAGUACGGCCGCAAGGCUAAAACUCAAAGAAAUUGACGGGGGCCCGCACAAGCGGCGGAGCAUGCGGAUUAAUUCGAUGCAACGCGAAGAACCUUACCAAGGCUUGACAUAUACUGGACCGCAUCAGAGAUGGUGUUUCUCUUCGGGGCUGGUAUACAGGUGGUGCAUGGUUGUCGUCAGCUCGUGUCGUGAGAUGUUGGGUUAAGUCCCGCAACGAGCGCAACCCUCGUUCUAUGUUGCCAGCACGUUAUGGUGGGGACUCAUAGGAGACUGCCGGGGUCAACUCGGAGGAAGGUGGGGAUGACGUCAAAUCAUCAUGCCCCUUAUGUCUUGGGCUUCACGCAUGCUACAAUGGCCGGUACAGAGGGUUGCGAUACUGUGAGGUGGAGCUAAUCCCUAAAAGCCGGUCUCAGUUCGGAUUGGGGUCUGCAACUCGACCCCAUGAAGUCGGAGUCGCUAGUAAUCGCAGAUCAGCAACGCUGCGGUGAAUACGUUCCCGGGCCU
rnacentral:rRNA from 1 species